rnacentral:rRNA from 1 species
CCGCAGCUCGAGUGGUGGUCUAUAUUAUUGAGCCUAAAACGUCCGUAGCCGGAUUCAUAAAUCCUUGGGUAAAUCGGCUAGCUUAACUAACCGAAUUCCGAGGAGACUGUGGAUCUUGGGACCGGGAGAGGUCAGAGGUACUUCUGGGGUAGGGGUAAAAUCCUGUAAUCCUAGAAGGACCACCGGUGGCGAAGGCGUCUGACUAGAACGGAUCCGACGGUGAGGGACGAAGCCCUGGGGCGCAAACGGGAUUAGAUACCCGAGUAGUCC